CCGCUCGUGGCGCAGUGGAUAACGCAACGGAUUCCGAUUCCGGAGAUCGGGGGUUCAAAUCCCUCCGAGCGGGCCA
rnacentral:tRNA from 1 species